rnacentral:tRNA from 1 species
GGCCUUGUAGCUCAGAUGAUUAGAUCGUUGGCUGUGUUAAAGCCUUCUCCUGGCUGUCGUGGGUUCGAAUCCCACCGAGUCCA